ACGAUGAACCAGGCUGCCGCUCUAUUUGGCAUUUUUUGCCUGUAACAGGGAGGAAAGUCCGGGCUCCGCAGGGUAUGAUGCCGGGUAAUUCCCGGGCCCUGGCGCCUGACUGUUGUAGAUGAGUAAUGUAUCAAAAACAAUUGUUUUCUGAAUUACAGGAGUUAGGCGCCGGGGACAGACAGCGCCACAGAAAAAAUACCGCCUGACCGCUUAAAAUGUCAUAAGUACGCCAGAUUUUUGGCGCCUUCUUUGGCAUUUUUGGCCAGGUAAGGGUGAAAAGGCGGGGUAAGAGCCCACCUCGGUAUUGGCAACAAUACCGGAAAGAUUCCAGCGAAGCUGGAAAAUUGCAAGCCUCAUCAGGAGCAAAGUCAAGUCAGCGCGGCAACGACCCGUUGGUUAAGCGCAGGUAGACUGCUAAAAAGCGCCGGAAACGGCGCUUUCAGACAGAUGGCGGCGUCUGGCCGGUAUUUUUAACGGUCAGAUUACAGAACCCGGCUUACGGUUCAUCGUUUUU
rnacentral:RNase_P_RNA from 1 species